UUAAUAGAAGCCAAAAACAGAGGCAUUUUAUUGUUAAUAAAAAAAAUGAAUUUAAUUCCUAUUAAA
rnacentral:tRNA from 1 species